GAUGAACGCUGGCGGCGUGCCUAAUACAUGCAAGUCGAGCGAACAGGUAAGGAGCUUGCUCCUUUGACGUUAGCGGCGGACGGGUGAGUAACACGUGGAUAACCUACCUAUAAGACUGGGAUAACUUCGGGAAACCGGAGCUAAUACCGGAUAACAUAUUGAACCGCAUGGUUCAAUAGUGAAAGGCGGCUUUGCUGUCACUUAUAGAUGGAUCCGCGCCGUAUUAGCUAGUUGGUAAGGUAACGGCUUACCAAGGCAACGAUACGUAGACGACCGGAGAGGCUGGUCGGCCGCCCUGGAAGGGAGACGCGCUCCAGACUCCUACGGGAGGCAGCAGUAGGGAACCGUCCGCAAUGGGCGAAAGCCUGACGGAGCAACGCCGAGUGAGUGAUGAAGGUCUUCCGAUCGUAAAACUCUGUUACCAGGGAAGAACAAAUGUGUAAGUAACUGUGCACAUCUUGACGGUACCUGAUCAGAAAGCCACGGCUAACUACGUG
rnacentral:rRNA from 1 species